AUUGAACGCUGGCGGCAGGCCUAACACAUGCAAGUCGAAUGGUAACAGGAAACAGCUUGCUGUUUCGCUGACGAGUGGCGGACGGAAGAGUCAUGUCUGGGAAACUGCCCGAUGGAGGGGGAUAACUACUGGAAAAGGUAGCUAGUACCGCAUAACGUCGCAAGCACAAAGUGGGGGACCUUCGGGCCACUUGCCAUCAGGUGUGCCCAGAUGGGAAUAGCUCGUAGGUGGGGUAACGGCUCACCUAGGCGACGAACCUUAGCUCGUCUGAGAGGAUGAACAGGCACAUUGGCACUGAGACACGGCCCAGACUCUGACGGUAGGCAGCAGUGGGGAAUAUUGCACAAGGGGGGAAAGGCUGAUGCUGCCAAGCCGCGUGUAGGAAGAAGGCCUUCUGGUUGUAAAGUAAUUUAGGCGGUGGGGAAGGAAGUCAAGUUAAUACCUGUCCUCAUUGACGUUACCCGGAGAAGAAGCACCGGCUAACUUCGUG
rnacentral:rRNA from 1 species